UACGGCCGCAAGGUUAAAACUCAAAUGAAUUGACGGGGGCCCGCACAAGCGGUGGAGCAUGUGGUUUAAUUCGAUGCAACGCGAAGAACCUUACCUGGUCUUGACAUCCACAGAACUUUCCAGAGAUGGAUUGGUGCCUUCGGGAACUGUGAGACAGGUGCUGCAUGGCUGUCGUCAGCUCGUGUUGUGAAAUGUUGGGUUAAGUCCCGCAACGAGCGCAACCCUUAUCCUUUGUUGCCAGCGGUCCGGCCGGGAACUCAAAGGAGACUGCCAGUGAUAAACUGGAGGAAGGUGGGGAUGACGUCAAGUCAUCAUGGCCCUUACGACCAGGGCUACACACGUGCUACAAUGGCGCAUACAAAGAGAAGCGACCUCGCGAGAGCAAGCGGACCUCAUAAAGUGCGUCGUAGUCCGGAUUGGAGUCUGCAACUCGACUCCAUGAAGUCGGAAUCGCUAGUAAUCGUGGAUCAGAAUGCCACGGUGAAUACGUUCCCGGGCCUUGUACACACCGCCCGUCACACCAUGGGAGUGGGUUGCAAAAGAAGUAGGUAGCUUAACCUUCGGGAGGGCGCUUACCACUUUGUGAUUCAUGACUGGGGUGAAGUCGUAACAAGGUAACCGUAGGGGAACCUGCGGUUGGAUCACCUCCUUA
rnacentral:rRNA from 3 species